rnacentral:rRNA from 1 species
GCGCAGCAGGCGCGAAACCUCCGCAAUACACGAAAGUGUGACGGGGCCAUCCCGAGUGCCGUCCGCUGAGGACGGCUUUUCCCCAGUGUACACAGCUGGGGGAAUAAGGAGAGGGCAAGCCUGGUGUCGGCCGCCGCGGUAAUACCAGCUCUCCGAGUGGUGGGGACGCUUAUUGGGCCUAAAGCAUCCGUAGCCGGCUGGGCAAGUCCUCCGUUAAAUCCAACGAUUCAAUCGUUGGGCUGCGGGGGAUACUGUCCAGCUUGGGGGCGGGAGAGGCCGACGGUAUUCCCGGGGUAGGGGUGAAAUCCUAUAAUCCCGGGAGGACCACCAGUGGCGAAGGCUGUCGGCUAGAACGCGCCCGACGGUGAGGGAUGAAAGCUGGGGGAGCGAACCGGAUUAGAUA